UUGUCAUAGCCUAACGGCUGAACAGCAACUUGGGGGAAUGUAUAGCGAAAGCUAGUUGUGUUAACUAUUAGUUAAUGCAGGAUCGACUAUGUCGAAUAAAGUUCUAGGUAGAAUAAUGAUGAUGACAAUUUUUUACCUAUAUGUCUUGACCAAAUCUCGUGCCAGCAGUCGCGGUAAUACGUGGAAGACUAGUGUUAUUCAUCUUUAAUAGGUUUAAAGGGUACCUAGACGGUAUUUUUAGCCCAAAAUAGGGUACGGAUUUACUAGAGUUUUAUGUGAGGAGGGGAGUACUUGUGGAGUAGAGAUGAAAUUUUGUCAUACUAUGAGGAAACUGGUGGAGGCGAAAGCAACCUUUUAUGUAUAAACUGACGUUGAGGGACGAAGGCUUGGGUAGCAAACAGGAUUAGAUACCCUAGUAGUCCAAGCAGACAAUUCUGAAUGCCAUAGAUUAGAUUAUUUUUGGUCUAUAAAUGAAAGUGUAAGCAUUCCACCUCAAGAGUAAUGUGGCAACACAGGAACUGAAAUCAUUAGACCGUUUCUGAAACCAGUAGUGAAGUAUGUUAUUUAAUUCGAUAAUCCGCGAAAAACCUCACCACAACUUGAAUAUUUAUAAAAUAAUACAAGCGUUGCACGGCUGUCUUCAGUUAAUGUCGUGAGAUUUUGGUUAACUCCAUUAAAUUAACGUAAACCCUUACUUUAUUUCUUUUUAUAUAAAGUAGUUCCCCACUAUAUUGGAUAUGAUAAAAGGGAUUAAGACAAGUCAUCAUGACCUGAAUAUUGUGGGCUAUA
rnacentral:rRNA from 1 species